rnacentral:rRNA from 1 species
AUUGAACGCUGGCGGCAUGCUUUACACAUGCAAGUCGAACGGUAACAGGCCGCAAGGUGCUGACGAGUGGCGAACGGGUGAGUAAUGCAUCGGAACGUGCCCAGUCGUGGGGGAUAACGCAGCGAAAGCUGUGCUAAUACCGCAUACGAUCUAUGGAUGAAAGCGGGGGACCGUAAGGCCUCGCGCGAUUGGAGCGGCCGAUGUCAGAUUAGGUAGUUGGGGGGGUAAAGGCCCACCAAGCCAACGAUCUGUAGCUGGUCUGAGAGGACGACCAGCCACACUGGGACUGAGAAACGGCCCAGACUCCUACGGGAGGCAGCAGUGGGGAAUUUUGGACAAUGGGCGAAAGCCUGAUCCAGCAAUGCCGCGUGCAGGAAGAAGGCCUUCGGGUUGUAAACUGCUUUUGUACGGAACGAAACGGUCUGGGUUAAUACCUUGGGCUAAUGACGGUACCGUAAGAAUAAGCACCGGCUAACUACGUGCCAGCCGCCGCGGUAA